rnacentral:rRNA from 1 species
CACGUAGGCACCAAGCGUUGUCCGGAUUUAUUGGGCGUAAAGAGCUCGUAGGUGGUUCGGUAAGUCGGAUGUGAAAUCUCCAGGCUCAACCUGGAGGGGUCAUUCGAUACUGCCGUGACUAGAGGUCGGUAGGGGAGUGUGGAAUUCCUGGUGGAGCGGUGAAAUGCGCAGAUAUCAGGAGGAACACCCGUAGCGAAGGCGGCACUCUGGGCCGAUACUGACACUGAGGAGCGAAAGCGUGGGGAGCGAACAGG